rnacentral:rRNA from 1 species
AGCUAAUACUUGCUUUAGCACUCUUGAUUAAGUUCUUGAGUGUGUACUUGUUAAGCCUUUUAAGAAAAAAGUUAUUAACUUAAGGAAUUAUAACAAAGAAGUAACACGUAAUGGAUCCGUCCAUUUUUAGUGUGUAUCAGUCGAGUUUCUGACCUAUCAGCUUUUGAUGUUAGGGUAUUGGCCUAACAUGGCUAUGACGGGUAACGGGGAAUUAGAGUUCGAUUCCGGAGAGGGAGCCUGAGAAAUAGCUACCACAUCUAAGGAAGGCAGCAGGCGCGUAAAUUACCCAAUUCUAAAGAAGAGAGGUAGUGACAAGAAAUAACAAUACAAGGCCAAUCUGGCUUUGUAAUUGGAAUGAUGGGAAUUUAAAACCUUCCCAAAACUCAAUUGGAGGGCAAGUCUGGUGCCAGCAGCCGCGGUAAUUCCAGCUCCAAUAGCGUAUAUUAAAAUUGUUGCAGUUAAAACGCUCGUAGUUGAAUUUCAAAGAAUCGAUAUUUUAAGCAACGCUUUUAGCUUAAUCCACAUAACUGAUACUACGUAUCGACUUUGUGCGCAUUUUGCUAUUAUGUGUUCUUUUAAUUAAAAUGAUUCUUUUUAAGAUCUUUCUUUUGCUUCGGCAUUUGAAGAUCUUGUUAUUUUGAGUAAAUUAGAGUGUUCAAAGCAAACAGAUAUAGCAUUGCGCGUUUGAAUACUACAGCAUGGAAUAACAAAAUUGAACAAGUCAGAAUUUUGUUCUUUUUUCUUAUUUUGGCUUAGUUACGAUUAAUAGGAGUAGCUUGGGGGCAUUUGUAUUCAGAUGUCAGAGGUGAAAUUCUUAGAUUUUCUGGAGACAAACAACUGCGAAAGCAUUUGCCUAAAAUACUUCCAUUAAUCAAGAACGAAAGUUAAGGGAGUGAAGACGAUCAGAUACCGUCGUAAUCUUAACCAUAAACUAUGCCGACUAGGCUUUGGAUGAAAGAUUUUAAAAUAAGA